CCCUUAGAUGUUCUGGGCCGCACACGCGCUACACUGAAGGAGGCAGCGUGUACUCCUGGAUCGAAAGAUUUGGGUAACCCGCGAAUCUCCUUCGUGCUAGGGAUUGAGGUUUGCAAUUAUCCUUCAUGAACGAGGAAUUCCCAGUAAGUGCAAGUCAUAAGCUUGCGCUGACUACGUCCCUGCCCUUUGUACACACCGCCCGUCGCUACUACCGAUUGAAUGAUUUAGUGAGGACUUCGGACUGGGACCGAUGCGGCUUUCGGGCUGCAUCGGUAUUCUGGAAAGAUGUCCAAACUGUAUCAUUUAGAGGAAGUAAAANUCGUANCA
rnacentral:rRNA from 1 species